rnacentral:rRNA from 1 species
GAAUUUUGGACAAUGGGCGAAAGACUGAUCCAGCAAUGCCGCGUGCAGGAUGAAGGCCCUCGGGUUGUAAACUGCUUUUGUACGGAACGAAAAGCUUUGGGUUAAUACCCUGGAGUCAAGACGGUACGGUAAGAAUAAGCACCGGCUAACUACGUCCCAGCCGCCGCGGUAAUCAGUAGGGUGCCAGCGUUAACCGGAAUUACUGGGCGUAAAGCGUGCGCAAGCGGUUUUGUAAGGAAGAGGUGCAAUCCCCGGGCUCAACCUGGGAACUGCCUUUGUGACUGCAAGGCUAGAGUACGGCAGAGGGGGGUGGAAUUCCGCGUGUAGCAGUGAAAUGCGUAGAUAUGCGGAGGAACACCGAUGGCGAAGGCAACCCCCUGGGCCUGUACUGACGCUCAUGCACGAAAGCGUGGGGAGCAAACA